AUUCAUGGUAUUUGGAGGCUAAUGAUGAAAAACAAACAGAUUUAAAUAUCAAUCCAUAUUAAACUUCUUUGGACAGCCUUAAUGGAGCUUGUAUGUGAUCCACUAUUUAAAGUGUGAAUCUGACCUUAUGGGCUUAUAUGGACCUUGUGAAUCUGACCUCAUGGGCUCAUAUGAACCUUAGUUAAUAUAUUUUAAGGUGAUAUAUGAAAAAUGAUAGAAAUUGAGCUAGAUUACAUGGAGGGUUACAUGUUGAGUGUGUUUGGGCUCUUUGUGGUUAGUUAUGUGAGACCAGAAGUUAAGGCCUUAAUUGGUGGAUUUAAUUAUUUAUUUAAGGCCUAAAAUAAAUAAAAUAGAAGUGUGUAGGUCCCCAAGGUGAUGCAAGUGGUAGAUCUGCACAAGGAAAAUUGUUUUUAACUUGUUUUCCUACUUUAACUAGGAUUCUUGAUAGAGUUUUAAGUCAGAAUGCAACUAGGACUUCCAAAUGAGAUCUGGAGUCCUAGUUAAUCUAUUUUUCAAUAUAAAAAGGGUCCAAAAUGCAGAUCUGAAGCAAUUCAAUUCUCUUCUACUCAUAGUG
rnacentral:misc_RNA from 1 species